UUUUCCUACCCGUGCUCUGGAGGACUUUAUGUUAGCUACAGAUUUGCUAGGUUUUAAGCAUCCUGCAAAGCCAUGCCUUCAAUUUGGUUGGCAAUAUGAGUUCUGCUCUCUGAGAGCUCUUAAUGCAGCCCUGCUUUCCACAAAGGGGAUCAGGAGAGUCAGGCACAGAGAACGGUGGUGUGAUGUGGAUAUCUUAUGGAGAUGGGCUGAAAUGAAGAUCUAUUGUGCUGAAUGCCUGGAGCUGGAAGUGUGUUUUUGUGCUGCAUAUUAAUCACCAGGGAGGUGUAAAGACCUGAAUGCCAAUAGGCACAUGUGUUGUUUGGUGUUACAGCACUCAGGUAUGAAUCUGCCCCUGGGAUCCUGGUGCUUUUUCAGUGUACACUUGAUGUACUGGGAAUACGGAUCAUUCCGCGUUCGUAUCUGGGUAUUUCUGUGCCUUCAGCUGAUCGAAUAAACAAGAGCCUGUGGUACAAUUCAAAGAAGAGCAAUAUUCCCUCUCUCAAUCCAGUGCUAAGAAAACGCUGGAGAAUGCAGAGCCCACAGCUCGCCCGUGUCUACAGCUGAUGAGAGCAGAUAUCACUAAGAUGACAUCCCUGUCACAAACAAUUCCUCUGGUCCUGCAUAAAUCAUUGGUCGGAGGAGGGACUUUGACUAAUUACUCUCAGGGUGCUGGCAUGCUUUCAGCUCAGCCAGAUACAUGAGCCAAGCAGGAUUUAUCAGGUAUGAACACUUUGUACUACAUUACAACACCCAGUCACUUGUGAUUGGAUUUGGGAGUAAACUAAGGCCCAGAUAAUAGUCUGUGUGGAUGGCAAACACACUGAACAAUAAAGGGUGAGAAUCACCUUCAUGUUCCCAACACUGCCCUUCAUCUGUCCCCUCCCUCUCCCAAGCACCUUCUCCCUCUCUAUUUCUCUCCACCUCUCCUUGAUGGAUUAGGAGGACAAUGAAUAAUGUGCAGCAAUGAGCAGAGCAAACAAGACUUCACAAUGGAGUGGUGCUGCUUUGCAUUACCAAGAGACUUACUCAAACACAGUCCGGAUUUACUCAUCAGGUACAGGGCUCUGGAAUUCCCAUUGCAGAAAUGCUGUUUGGAAGCAUUGCUAUCACCUGGACAUAUAAUGGGGAAAAUGGCUGGGAAUCUGAGAAAUAUUCUUACAACAUUCAUUCAUCAAGAACCGUUAAGGGCAGGAUUUCCCUGUUUGAUUCAUGCUUUGUAUUGUGCAAGCCCUGACUGAACUGCGAAGCGCCAGUGAAUUGGCCUCAGAUCCACAAAGUGCCACCUGAGCCACCUCUGACACCUGAAUCUUGGCUAUCUGAAAGAUCAAGUGUUGCCCAUUCUUUGUCUUUGUUUCAUGUCAAUCCACUUCAGGUCUGAUCCUGGACCUGUUCCAGGUUCAGGAAGCUCCCAAGAGCUGUCACUUGGGUCACAUCCUUAACCUGAUCCUCAGACAGAGGAUGCAGCACCUCCUCUGCACAAGGUCUCCCUGGGAUGCAGUUGAUAUAAUGCAAGAGGAAUGUGCAUCCCCUUUGUCAAACUUUAAGAAAAUAGCUUAGCUGCCUUGGCAAAAGGGGGAAAACUGACUGGAAGAGUCCACAUAAAUAUGAAGACUUGAGUGAGCCUUAAGUCUGUGGAUGGGCUAUUCCUUCCCUGCUGCUAUGUAAGACAGAUUGAAGCAUCUUCAGGACAGCCAAGCUUGCCCACAGCCUCUAAAGCAAAGGUGUAUUUUGGCUGAUGCACAGGCUGGUGGCAUUUUUAUUCUUGUUUUCCUUUAACUGGCAUGUCUUUUAUCAUUCCCAGCUCAAUAUUAUCUGUGACUCAGUGAAUGAGGAAACUGAGAGGACAAAAUAUAUGCACCUAGAUGUAUGUGAGAGAUGGGAUUGCCAGGCAAAGGGUCUAGCAAGGAGUAUUUUGCCUGCUACAGUAGACAGAGGUAUAAAUAGGGUGCAUUUUUAGGCACCCAUAAAAUGCUCCCCCAGAUCUUGGGAUAGACACAGUCAGAGAUGUCUAGAGAAGCAUAAUGAAGCCAUUUGCUGAGCAGUAUUAAAGAGAGUGUGAAAAUACAUUUCAGAGAGUGCUCAGUCAGUGGAUCUCUGCUGAGACAAUAGUCUACACGGGGGUCUUUGGUAGUUGUCUGGGGAAAUCAAAGUGCUCACUGGCACCAUGCACUGCUGCUUGGGCAGUACAUCAGUAUGUACAGCUGCCUGCUU